rnacentral:misc_RNA from 1 species
GUGAAUCAUCGAAUUUUUGAACGCAAAUUGCACUUCCUGGUAUUCCGGAGAGUAUGCCUGUUUGAGGGUCAGUUAAAUAAAAAAUGGUGUUGUUGCUGUUUUUUGUGGUGACGUGUCGGAAUUGAGUUGUCUUCUUUUAGGUUAAGUUACUUAAAAUUUUGGCUGAAUUUUGAAUGUAUUUAAAUUUCUUAAGCAUGUUUGAGAUAUCGAUUACUUUAUUAGGCUCGGUCAUGCUCAUGAUUAGUUACUAUAUUUUUUCAGUAACUGACC